CGCGAAUCGCCCUUCGGGGUGCAGCAGGCGCGAAAACUUUACAAUGCGGGAAACCGUGAUAAGGGGACACCGAGUGCCAGCAUCAUAUGCUGGCUGUCCAGGUGUGUAAAAUACACCUGUUAGCAAGGGCCGGGCAAGACCGGUGCCAGCCGCCGCGGUAACACCGGCGGCCCGAGUGGUGAUCGUGAUUAUUGGGUCUAAAGGGUCCGUAGCCGGUUUGGUCAGUCCUCCGGGAAAUCUGACGGCUCAACCGUUAGGCUUUCGGGGGAUACUGCCAGGCUUGGAACCGGGAGAGGUAAGGGGUACUACAGGGGUAGGAGUGAAAUCUUGUAAUCCCUGUGAGACCACCUGUGGCGAAGGCGUCUUACCAGAACGGGUUCGACGGUGAGGGACGAAAGCUGGGGGCACGAACCGGAUUAGAUACCCGGGUAGUCCCAGCCGUAAACGAUGCUCGCUAGGUGUCAGGCAUGGCGCGACCGUGUCUGGUGCCGCAGGGAAGCCGUGAAGCGAGCCACCUGGGAAGUACGGCCGCAAGGCUGAAACUUAAGGGAAUUGGCGGGGGAGCAC
rnacentral:rRNA from 1 species